rnacentral:rRNA from 2 species
UACGUAGGAUCCAAGCGUUGUCCGGAUUUACUGGGUGUAAAGGGUGCGCAGGCGGACUUAUAAGUCAGGGGUGAAAUCUCGCUGCUCAACAGCGAAACUGCCUUUGAUACUGUAGGUCUUGAAUUAGGGAGAGAUUCGUGGAAUUCCGAGUGUAGCAGUGAAAUGUGUAGAUAUUCGGAAGAACACCAGAGGCGAAGGCAGCGAAUUGGCCCUAUAUUGACGCUCAGGCACGAAAGCAUGGGGAUCAAACAGG